UCACACCCUCGUGGGGACCUGGGGCAGAGGGGAGGUGGACGAGGGUCGGGGAGUUCACCCCAGGCCCACCUCCAGUCGGGGGGUUCCCGGGGGAAGGUGGAUCCCCCGAGGGGGCUUGACGCGGGGGCCUCCUGCCGUCUUGCUUGGACUGGUGCCUGCGAUCGGAGCCUCCUCGGAGGGGUCCGGCGAGGGCGGGGAGCGCAGGGCGCCGGGCCCUUCUACAGCGCACGCUUUCUCCGGGGACUUUUAUUGAUCGAUUGUUUAAAAUUGUUUCUUUUCCCCCCUGAACAUCAGGAUUCCCCUGGUGCCCAAACCCAAAGUCCCGGGGUUUGGAGCAUCGGUGACCCCGAGGUCUUUGGAGCGCUCUGGUGUAACACCCCGGUACAUCCUCAAAGACUUGAUGGUUUUUUAUGAGGGUUUAGGGACUCUACUUCUGCACCCCUCCCCCCUUCAGAAAUAAAAGAGAAUACAAAGUUGUGUCACCUCCCUGCCCCUCCACCCCCCCCACUUUCGAAAUGUAUUUACCUCAUCGUAGUUGCUGAAAAUUUCCAUUCAAAGAAGAUAGUUGGUGGUGGUGGUGGUGGUGGUGGUGCGUUUUUUUUUUUUUUAAUGUUGACCGAGCUUCCAGCGAUAAAUUCAACACUGUGGAAAUUAAGUCUUGGAGCCGACUACUUCCAGCGAAGUACAGACUUGAUCCAAUGGAGAUUGUUGUUCCAGACCGCCCUACCGUAGAUGCUAGCUCAAAGAAUACCAUGGAGACUGGCCCCACCUCCCAUGACAUCGCACCGAAUGCCAUGGCCCCUGCUGCUCGCCGAGAACGGCUUGGAGACCUGAUUGGACUCCCAGAGAGCGGAAAAAGUUGACUUCCCAUUAGGGGAAGCUGUGUGGUGGUUGCCUUGUGUUCCUGUCACUCUUCUCUGGAAACCUGAUUUCACUUCUGCUCCUUGCCCUGGGUCAAAAGGGACAGCUGGAACCUUCUAGGAAGGUGAUCACUAUAAGUUGUUUCCAGGGGUGUUAGGUCGUGCGAGGAAAUACAAUACCAAGGCAGAAAAAUCCUGUGGCAGCUUGCAUUUGAGAAUUCAGCCGUCAUUAUUUGUGGUGUACGGGUUUUGUGUAAAAUGAGCCAAUCGCACACCCAAAAGUUCCUGUUAAUAGGAAAUUAUGGUCGGAUAUAGCUGUGUGUUCUGGUUAUUUUGAUACCUGCUAUGAAAUUAUGUGUCCAGAAGAGUGCAGUAUAGCCAAGCAGGGUAAUAAAUUUAGGAAUGAAAAGCAGUAAUGAUUUUUUUAAUGAUGGAAAAUCUGUUUCAAACUACAUUUGUAGAGUGUAGAUAGGCUGUGAAAUAUUUCUCUUUCCAACAGUACCCUUAAAAUUGAAUCACUCCAUCACAUACAUAGAAAUUGGGGCUAAUUAUCCAGGAAGCCAAUUACUAAAUGAUCAGUUUUUAAAAUGUAAAUCAUUCUAAAAGGAUUGUGAAGUCUUUUUUAAAUUGAAAAGUGUAUUUUAAGGAUUGGAUUAUUAUAGACACAGAAAACUCUUAUAAACUUUUAAAGUUAGUAUUCGUAUUCUGGAAAAGUAAAAAUAACCCACUUAAAAUGUAUGUGAAAUUGGCAACAAAGGUAGGUUAUAACCUAAUUUUAUGGCUAAAUUCUUUAAGUGUGAGGCCAAAACUGUUUCAGCCUGUAGUGGAAAUAUUCAAACUUUAGCAUAUAGAUUUAAAGAUCAUUUUUCCUAAAAAAAAAAACUUUGAAGUUUGAUUUACUGUAUCAUUUUGAAAUCUUUUAGAAAGAAGGUAUUUUUUGAUUGGGUUCACCUUUAUUAAGCUAAUUCUAAGAUUUUUAUUACCUCUUUUUUGUCAUAAAACAGGAGCUUAUUGUGAGUGAUGCCUGGUUUAAACAAUUUAUUCAACAAGAAAUUAGCUUUGGGUGAGGAUUGUAGAUACAUACUCAAGAGUGCCUAUCUGUGUGAGGAUGGAAACUAUGAGGAUGACUAGAGAAAUUUAAAAUCAUGGAUAAGUAAUUUUAAGAGAUAUACCUGUCAAAACUUCUUAACCAUGCAAAUCUCUUUGUAAUUAGCGCACAAAGCCCUGUAUGGAUGAGGAAGUAGACCAGGAAGCAGGUGAAACUGUGGGUUUUACUGAACACUUUGAUUCAAUGCCUCAAAAGAUUUUGUAUUACUAUUAGAAAAAUAUACCCUAAGAUUAAUUUUUAAAAUAAAGGUGUAUGAUUUUGGUUUUUA